CGCCCCGGUGCUCCGGCGCGGGCUGGGCUUCCAGUUCGGCAGCGGCAUCUUCGGCCGAUGCCGCCGUUUCAGUCAGGGCCGGGGUGAC
rnacentral:tRNA from 1 species